UACGUAGGGGCAAGCGUUGUCCGGAUUUAUUGGGCGUAAAGAGCGUGUAGGCGGUUUGGUAGGUCCGUUGUGAAAACUCGAGCUCAACCUCGAGACGCCGAUGGAAACCAUCAGACUAGAGUCCGGAAGAGGAGAGUGGAAUUCCUGGUGUAGCGGUGAAAUGCGCAGAUAUCAGGAGGAACGCCAAUGGCGAAGGCAAGUCUCUGGACAAGUUCCUGA
rnacentral:rRNA from 1 species